rnacentral:misc_RNA from 1 species
UCUUUUUAUUUUCUCAACUAACUCUGUCAAACAAACAAGCGUAAACAUCAAGGCCUUGCGACCCUGUGCUAAUGUUGUGAGAUACUACGCAAGCGCAGCACUCGCAAAAGAUUUGUAAUGAUCCUUCCGCAGGUUCACCUACGGAAA